rnacentral:rRNA from 1 species
UACGGAGGGUGCAAGCGUUAUCCGGAUUCACUGGGUUUAAAGGGUGCGUAGGUGGGCAGUUAAGUCAGUGGUGAAAUCUCCGGGCUUAACCCGGAAACUGCCAUUGAUACUAUCUGUCUUGAAUACCGUGGAGGUGAGCGGAAUAUGUCAUGUAGCGGUGAAAUGCUUAGAUAUGACAUAGAACACCAAUUGCGAAGGCCAGCUCACUACACGAAUAUUGACACUGGAGGCACGAAAGCGUGGGGAUCAAACAGG